AUUAUUUUAAGAUUAUUUUUUAUUGUUGAAAAAAUUAAAAAUAAAUUGUUUUUAACAAAAAUUAAAAUUUAUAAUAUUUCAUUUUUUGGUUUUUUGUUUUAAAUUAAAAUAAUAAAUAUGGGGGAAAAAAAAAUUUUGUUAUAAAUUAUAUUAGUUUAUUUUAACUAAAAAUAUUUUUUAUUAAAUUUGUUUUUUUUAUUUUUUUAUAAAAAAUAUUAAUUUAAUUAUUAUUAUUGAGUUUAAUUUAGUUAUUUUUAAAAAAAUUUUGUAUAAAAUAAAUUUGAUAAUAAAUGUUUUUUAAAUUCUUUGGGGGUUUAGUUUAUGAUUUUUUGUUUCUGCUCAUUGUUAAAUAAAAGCACUUUUAGCGUGAUUAGUCAAAGGUA
rnacentral:rRNA from 1 species